rnacentral:rRNA from 1 species
GACGAGCCACCCGAACGUUAUUCGGAAUUACCGGGCUUAAAGGGUGCGUAGGCGGUGUAGCAAGUCGGGAGUGAAAUACCCCAGCUUAACUGAGGAAUUGCUUUCGAUACUGCUGCGCUUGAGUGAGACAGAGGUAAGCGGAACUUAGGGUGGAGCGGUGAAAUGCGUUGAUAUCCUAAGGAACACCGGUGGCGAAGGCGGCUUACUGGGUCUCAACUGACGCUGAGGCACGAAAGCUAGGGUAGCAAACGGG